rnacentral:rRNA from 1 species
GACGAACGCUGGCGGCGUGCUUAACACAUGCAAGUCGAACGGAAAGGCCCUGCUUUUGUGGGGUGCUCGAGUGGCGAACGGGUGAGUAACACGUGAGUAACCUGCCCUUGACUUUGGGAUAACUUCAGGAAACUGGGGCUAAUACCGGAUAGGAGCUCCUGCUGCAUGGUGGGGGUUGGAAAGUUUCGGCGGUUGGGGAUGGACUCGCGGCUUAUCAGCUUGUUGGUGGGGUAGUGGCUUACCAAGGCUUUGACGGGUAGCCGGCCUGAGAGGGUGACCGGCCACAUUGGGACUGAGAUACGGCCCAGACUCCUACGUGAGGCAGCAGUGGGGAAUAUUGCACAAUGGGCGGAAGCCUGAUGCAGCAACGCCGCGUUCGGGAUGACGUCCUUCGGGUUGUAAACCGCUUUCGCCUGUGACGAAGCGUGAGUGACGGUAAUGGGUAAAGAAGCACCGGCUAACUACGUG